rnacentral:rRNA from 1 species
CCUACGGGAGGCAGCAGUGGGGAAUAUUGGGCAAUGGAGGAAACUCUGACCCAGCGACGCCGCGUGCGGGAUGAAGGCCUUCGGGUUGUAAACCGCUUUCAGCAGGGAAGAAGCGAAAGUGACGGUACCUGCAGAAGAAGCACCGGCUAACUAUGUGCCAGCAGCCGCGGUAAUACAUAGGGUGCAAGCGUUGUCCGGAAUUAUUGGGCGUAAAGAGCUCGUAGGCGGUUCGUCACGUCGGAUGUGAAAAUCUGGGGCUUAACCCCAGACCUGCAUUCGAUACGGGCGAGCUUGAGUAUGGUAGGGGAGUCUGGAAUUCCUGGUGUAGCGGUGGAAUGCGCAGAUAUCAGGAGGAACACCAAUGGCGAAGGCAGGACUCUGGGCCAUUACUGACACUGAGGAGCGAAAGCGUGGGGAGCGAACAGGAUUAGAUACCCUGGUAGUCCACGCCGUAAACGGUGGGCACUAGUUGUGGGGACCUUCCACGGUCUCUGCGACGCAGCUAACGCAUUAAGUGCCCCGCCUGGGGAGUACGAGCGCGAGAAGUUAAACUACGAAAGUUAAAGUUAGUACGGCGUUGAGACGUUGCCGAACGGACGACGACGAGGGGAGGUUAGGAG